CCGGCCUCGCGUCGCCACCCGGCUGAGUCACGGGCCGCGCACACUGCACGUCUGACUGCACGGGCCCCUCGGGCCUGCACCUCCGCGGCCCGGAAGGGACGGAAGCCCCGCGUCCCCACCCCCACCCCGGGAGGGUCCCUGCGGCAGUUACGGGGGAGCAGCGAUAGCUGCCCUGGAGGUCGCAUUCCCACCCGGCCCCCGAGUUCUCCGGGAGAACUCCCCCGCAGCCUCGGCGGCAUCGCCUCCUCCAAUCUCCCCAGGAAUCGUGUUUCCCCCAACCCUGCCUCCGUGCGCGCCGGGGUGGCGGCGGGAUCCCGGUGCCGCCACCCCUCGGCCCCUCCGCCGCCGUGCGGGACCGCGAUGGGGGAGGGGACAGGCCCGGUUUCGGUGAGGGGGCUGGGGUCGGCCACGCCCUCUUCCCUGGCCCCAGGGUGGGGGCCGCGAGGAUGGCGGGGUCACCGGGCUGAACUCGCGCCUGUCUGACCUGCGGGGGUGUAGGCGGUGUGGACUGUGGACUGGAAGACGUCCUUAAAUUUUUAAAAAUAGUCUUGCCGUAUGGAGAAGAACACUGGAACCUUUAAGUCCGCAUCCCCUCGCCCGAUUCGGCUCGUCUUAGUCCAGAGUGUAACUCCAAACAUACUUAUUAAGAAACUGUUGCUUUAUUUUGACUCGUUUACAUAAAAUUUCCACUUUGGGGGGGAUGGCGGUGGGCUUGUGGAUUCCCUAAAAUAACUUUUAAUGGAGCGAAGCCUUCCAUUAUGGGAAGCGCCUAGACGCGGAGAGGCGUCUGGGGGCCUGGGUUGCCGUCACAGCCCUGCCACCAGCUGGCUGAGCGACCGGGGCACGUCGCUGCCCCCUCUGCCCGUGUUAGGAGAGUGGCCGCGGCGGGGCGACUGCACGAGCUGCCCCUAGGAUUGAAAGACAGAGGCUGUCUCUCCUUAACUUGCUUUGAUCCUGCAGAGAAGCAAAAUGGAGUGAGAUUAAAAAUAAAGAAGAUGCAAGCAGUUUGCUUUUCUGAAUGGUGUGCCUUCCGCCCCGCUCCAGUUGUAUUUAUCAUGCAGACAAGGUCAAGGUAACCUUCACGGUCUGGCCAGUUCCAUUAAGUACAGAGUGCCCUUUCACUAGGAGGAGACCUCCAUUGAGAACUUUACUUCCCACAUCACUCGGGAACCUUCAGGGCUUUGAAGGCUCCUACUCCAAAGGGUCAGGAGGGGAGAGGCCCGGAGGGAAUGCGAAGAGAGACUUUUCACAAAGGGAGAGAAGAAUGAAGGAACAUUUUUAAGGCUCUUGAUUCAAAUCGUCUGCUGCUGUCCAGAAAGAUGACACCAACUUACACAUCCGAUAAGAAUGGAUGAAAUUAAAAUUCUGGGCCGGACGCGGUGGCUCACGCCUGUAAUCCCAGCACUUUGGGAGGCCAAGGCGGGCGGAUCACGAGGUCAGGAGAUCGAGACCAUCCUGGCUAAUGCGGUGAAACCCCGUCUCUACUAAAAAUACAAAAAAUUAGAUGGG
rnacentral:lncRNA from 1 species